rnacentral:rRNA from 1 species
UACGUAGGCAGCGAGCGUUGUUCGGAGUUACUGGGCGUAAAGCGUGCGUAGGCGGUCUUGUAAGUUUGGUGUGAAAUCUCCCGGCUUAACCGGGAGGGUGCGCCGAAAACUGCAAGGCUGGAGUAUGGGAGAGGUAGGCGGAAUUCCUGGUGUAGCGGUGAAAUGCGUAGAUAUCAGGAGGAACACCAGUGGUGUAGACGGCUUACUGGACCAUGACUGACGCUGAGGCACGAAAGCGUGGGUAGCAAAC